rnacentral:rRNA from 1 species
CUUGAAAUACCACCCUUUAAUGUUUGAUGUUCUAACGUUGGCCCCUAAUCGGGGUUGCGGACAGUGUCUGGUGGGUAGUUUGACUGGGGCGGUCUCCUCCUAAAGAGUAACGGAGGAGCACGAAGGUUGGCUAAUCCUGGUCGGACAUCAGGAGGUUAGUGCAAUGGCAUAAGCCAGCUUGACUGCGAGCGUGACGGCGCGAGCAGGUGCGAAAGCAGGUCAUAGUGAUCCGGUGGUUCUGAAUGGAAGGGCCAUCGCUCAACGGAUAAAAGGUACUCCGGGGAUAACAGGCUGAUACCGCCCAAGAGUUCAUAUCGACGGCGGUGUUUGGCACCUCGAUGUCGGCUCAUCACAUCCUGGGGCUGAAGUAGGUCCCAAGGGUAUGGCUGUUCGCCAUUUAAAGUGGUACGCGAGCUGGGUUUAGAACGUCGUGAGACAGUUCGGUCCCUAUCUGCCGUGGGCGCUGGAGAACUGAGGGGGGCUGCUCCUAGUACGAGAGGACCGGAGUGGACGCAUCACUGGUGUUCGGGUUGUCAUGCCAAUGGCACUGCCCGGUAGCUAAAUGCGGAAGAGAUAAGUGCUGAAAGCAUCUAAGCACGAAACUUGCCCCG